rnacentral:rRNA from 1 species
UACGUAGGUGGCAAGCGUUUGUCCGGAUUUACUGGGCGUAAAGAGCGCGCAGGCGGUCGUUCAAGUCGAGUGUGAAAGCCCCCGGCUCAACUGGGGAGGGUCAUUCGAUACUGAUCGACUGGAAGGCAGGAGAGGGAAGCGGAAUUCCCGGUGUAGUGGUGAAAUGCGUAGAUAUCGGGAGGAACACCAGUGGCGAAGGCGGCUUCCUGGCCUGUUCUUGACGCUGAGGCGCGAAAAGCU